ACAGACAACGUUGUAGGAAAUUAACCAUGGUUGUUGUAGGUGCGUCCCUCCCGAAGCAGCGCGCUCCAUCGAAGAGAACGACCACCUCCGACAGAGGAGGACCCUUCCUCGGUCAAGGGUGUACGAGUAGCCGUGCUCCCCUUCUAGAACCUCCAAACAAGCUCUCAGCCUUCCUUUUAGGCUCAGAAAUUACUCAGAACAUUCUCACUUAAAUUGGACAGCAUUAAU
rnacentral:snRNA from 1 species